UACAGAGGGUGCAAGCGUUGUUCGGAAUUACUGGGCGUAAAGCGCGCGCAGGCGGAUCCUGUAAGUCUGAAGUGAAAUUUCACCGCUCAACGGUGAAGCUGCUUCGGAGACUGCGGAUCUGGAGACCGGUAGAGGCUGGUAGAAUUGCAGGUGUAGCGGUGGAAUGCGUAGAGAUCUGCAAGAAUACCCGUGGCGAAGGCGGCCAGCUGGGCCGGUUCUGACGCUGAGGCGCGAAAGCGUGGGGAGCAAACAGG
rnacentral:rRNA from 1 species